rnacentral:lncRNA from 10 species
AAAUAAAAUAAAAUAAAUUUUUACUUGUUAUUUUGAAAAGAAUUUUAAAUUUACAGGAUAUUUUCAGGAGUAAGCCAAAUAACUCCUGUAUACCCUUAACCCAGAAUCUGCAAUUUCUACCAUGUUGCCGCACUUAUUUAGUCAUUCUUUCUCUCUUUUUUUUCUGAGCCAUUUGAGAGUACAUUGCAUAUAUCAUGUCCCUUUACCCUUCACAGUUCAGUGUAUUUCCUAAGAGCAGGGACUUUCUCUUACAUAACUGCAGUGCAGUUAUUAAAUUCAGUAGAUUUAUUAUUGAUAAUGAUACCUUCUCAUUGACAGUUCAUAUUCCAAAUGUGGCCAGUUGUCUUGGCAACCCUCCAGCUUUUUUUUUUUCCCCUCCAAUACUGGAUCCAGGCCAGGAUCAAUGACUGCAUUGAGUUGUCAUGUCAUGAUAUUGGAAUGCUCAUACACUGUUGGUGGGAAUGUGAAAUGGUGUGGCUACUUGGGAAAAUAGUCUGACCGUUCCUCAAAAAGGUAAAUACAGAGUUUCCACAUGACUCCAGCAAUUCCACUCCUGGGUAUAUACCCAACCGAAAUGAAAACAUGUCCACACAAAAACUUGUGUACAAAUGUUCACAGCAGCAUUAUUGAUAAUAGUCAAAAGGUGAAAACUACCUAAAUCUCCAACAAUGAUGAGUGAAUGAACAAAAUGUGGCAUAGCCAUACAAUGGAUUACUAUUUGGCCAUAGAAAGGACUGAAAUACUGACACAAGCUGCAAUGUGGAUGAAACUGGAAAACGUGUGAAGUGCAGAGAGCCAAUCACAGAAGACCACACGUUGUAUGAUUCCAUUUACAUAAGAUGUUCAGAACAGCCAAAUCCAUAAAGACACAAAGUAGAUCAGUGGUUGCUCAAACCUGGGACAGAGCGCACACACGCGCACACGUGUGUGUUAAAAACAACAACAGAAAUCAGCUAGAGGUGCAUGGUGGCUGCCCUUAGACCUGGCCCGUGCACUCGUUUGCCACAGUCUCCACCAUGCCCUGUUACUCCCCGACACUGCACCUAGGGGCCAGGUCCGUUUAGCACAGCACUUCCAUCUGUGUUCCUCACACCCUGCUGCUUCCCCUCACCGACUUCACACCUGUCCUGCCCCAGAGGAAGUUAAUUUGGUGAUGGCCUAUGUGAAGACAGUCAGUAGGUGGUUCCCGCCUGGAAUCCCAGCACUUUGGGAGGCCAAGACGGGAGGAUCACUUGAGCCCACGGGUUUAAGACCAGCCUGGGCAACAUGGCAAAACCCUGUCUCUAUAAAAAAUAC